rnacentral:rRNA from 1 species
UACGUAGGGUGCAAGCGUUACUCGGAAUUACUGGGCGUAAAGCGUGCGCAGGCGGUGAUGUAAGACAGGUGUGAAAUCCCCGGGCUUAACCUGGGAACUGCAUUUGUGACGGCAUCGCUGGAGUGCGGCAGAGGGGGAUGGAAUUCCGCGUGUAGCAGUGAAAUGCGUAGAUAUGCGGAGGAACACCGAUGGCGAAGGCAAUCCCCUGGGCCUGCACUGACGCUCAUGCACGAAAGCGUGGGGAGCAAACAGG